rnacentral:piRNA from 1 species
UGGGAAAAUUUUGAAACUGCU